rnacentral:rRNA from 1 species
UCGAGGGGCAGCACAGGGUAGCAAUACUUGGGUGGCGACCGGCGCACGGGUGAGUAACGCGUAUGCAACUUACCUAUCAGAGGGGGAUAGCCCGGCGAAAGUCGGAUUAAUACCCCAUAAAACAGGGGUCCCGCAUGGGAAUAUUUGUUAAAGAUUCAUCGCUGAUAGAUAGGCAUGCGUUCCAUUAGGCAGUUGGCGGGGUAACGGCCCACCAAACCGACGAUGGAUAGGGGUUCUGAGAGGAAGGUCCCCCACAUUGGUACUGAGACACGGACCAAACUCCUACGGGAGGCAGCAGUGAGGAAUAUUGGUCAAUGGCCGAGAGGCUGAACCAGCCAAGUCGCGUGAAGGAAGAAGGAUCUAUGGUUUGUAAACUUCUUUUAUAGGGGAAUAAAGUGGAGGACGUGUCCUUUUUUGUAUGUACCCUAUGAAUAAGCAUCGGCUAACUCCGUGCCAGCAGCCGCGGUAAUACGGAGGAUGCGAGCGUUAUCCGGAUUUAUUGGGUUUAAAGGGUGCGUAGGUGGUGAUUUAAGUCAGCGGUGAAAGUUUGUGGCUCAACCAUAAAAUUGCCGUUGAAACUGGGUUACUUGAGUGUGUUUGAGGUAGGCGGAAUGCGUGGUGUAGCGGUGAAAUGCAUAGAUAUCACGCAGAACUCCGAUUGCGAAGGCAGCUUACUA